CACAGAUAUAUAAACCCCACUUGCCUGGUUUCCAACAGGCCUCACAACCCCUGCCAUAGAUAUGGGCAAAACGUCAGGAAGGAAUGCUUCUGGAACAUAACAGCACAGAAAACUCACAGCAACCCACAUUCAAAGUUAGGAAUAGGAAAGUAGAAACAUUCACUUUGUUGGAAGGUUUCGGGAAGGGGCAAUGCUCAUUCCACUUUCUUAUUUCUGGUCCGACAAUGGACAUAAAUACUCCCAGGCCUUGGAAAAAUGAUCUUGGUUGUCUGGGCAGAGAGCUGUUUGUGGACCGUAACUCCCGGAUGGUCCUCUCCAUUGUCGUUGAAGUGACAUGAGAUAAUGCGAUAUUUCAGGCCGCGAAGGGUGGGCAGUUGAUCCUUGGGCACAUUCUUGCGGGGAGACUGUCAUCCUUGAUGCCACGGAAAGGGAACGGCAACACCAUCGCUCUUUUGUCCGUGGAUCAUUCCUUGAUACCGGCAGCAUUGCCUUUCCCUGCCUUUGGAAUUGCCGUUACAGCCGGGAGAUUUGCUCCUUUUGAAUCCAAGGGAAAAUUAUUCCAAAACACCCGCCAGCAUGGAAACCCGAACCGUUUUCCAACGAAGGGAAGAGGAGCAAAAGGAAGAGCGGCACCGAGAUCUGCAAAUGACCUCCAGAACAAGAAAAACCAAGUUCAAGACAAGCGAGGAAGAGGAAGGCUUCACAGCUUCAGAGUUAUCCAUCGCAUCCGCCCUUGCAUUGACGUCUGAAGUAUCAUGGGAAACCCGGAUGAGACGGGAAGCUGCCAUCCUGAAGCUGGACGAGAGGGGACACAAGCAGGUCCGGUUUGGGAACGACAUGGAAAAGUUGGAGAAAGAGGUCAUUCGCAAUUGCCGGUUCUUGCGUGUGAAGGCAGACCGAAAAGCCUUGCGGAGAAAGGCGGAAGCCAAGGCCCGGCUGGAAAAGGAGGUCAUGGAGCUGCUGUCCUGCCGGGCGCCGAUGUUUUGGAUCCCGCUCCGGGCUCACGCCGUUUGGGAAAGAAUGAGCGUGAAACUGGAAUGUACCGUAUUGGCCUCCCCUUUGCCCACCGUGACUUGGUAAGUUGGCCGCCAGGCUCGUCCUCUCCGGCAUCCCUUUGGAAACUGACCUUCUAGCAAUGGG
rnacentral:lncRNA from 11 species